UGUCCAACUAAGAACGUGCCUCACGUGCUAAAACCCUAAAGCCCGUGCUUGAGUUUUUCCGUCGUUCUUGUCCGGCUGCGCCGCGGUGCUGGUGCCGGCCUCUGGCCGCGCCGACGCACGCUGUGUGCGGCCGAACGGGAAGUCUGGUUGUAGGCAUGUCCAGUGCAUGGAGGCUGAGGUCGGAGGGGGCUUUGAGUUGUUUCUCUCGGUGUAGGGAAAUGGUUGUAUCUGUGUUGUCGCUGGGGAUGAGGACCAGACUGGAGAUGGAUCUAAACCAGAACGGAGCGGCUCGUGGCUGUCUGUGGAAGGCAGGCUGGGAUCGGUGGUUUGCUGGGUUGGAGCGUUGGCUUGAUGGAUUGGAUGAAGACGGCUCGAUGGCGCUUGAUUCGAAUCGUGGCGUAGCUCCAUGUUGGAGGUUUGGGCGUUUCAACAGUGGUGAGGCAUGACAGACCAGCGGGAACGCGCCGGUGGAGGGGGCCCGACGUCGGAGGCUGGGCGGUGGAUAUGGUGGUUGGGCGGCGGCGUGGAUGCAGGUGUUGAUUUGGGCAAAGAAGGGAUUUGGGCUCCUUGCUGUUUUGGUCUCUUGGGCUUGGACAUUGCUAGUGGGCCUCGUCUGGGCUUGUGCUUGGGGCUAAUCGGGCCUUGUGCGGUUGUGCCUGUGUAUGCACUCUAAGUGUCUUGUCUGCUCUAGGUAGGCAGCGAGUUCCUUGCUUCGUCAGAUGGUCGCUACCGCCUAGUGGCAGGGUGAAGCUAAGUGUCGUCGGAUUUAUCCUCCGGCGGCAACAUAGUAGGAAAGCUGUGUGUAUGGUAAUUAGGCUAUAUUGUAAUCGUGUUACAUAUCGAGUUAUCUUUCCGUUAUGUCACCGUUAUUUCAAAGCAAAUAGAGUCGCCAGUAGAGCGCUCUUUGCUAGUUGGUGCCUAGUUGAA